rnacentral:lncRNA from 1 species
AUGGGGAGUAGGAUUUUUCCAAACCUAAUCCCCUUCUCGUACUUCUGUCCUCUGCAGCUUUCCCAGGUGGGUGGGUUGAAGGGGAACAGUGAUGCUGUAAGAGGGUCAAAACCACCCCUUGACAAACAAGGAGAAGAAUAUGAUUUGCUAGAGACCCACCUUUCCCAAGCUCUAGCUGUAGUUUCUCAAGCUUCUCCCUCCGCCCACAGGAAUGUCCUGCUGCACGGAGCGCUGUCUGCUCUUUUGUCAUCUUUGCUGCCUCCCUCCCAACCUUCCUUCCUUGAAAAGGCCCACCUUGGCUUCCAUUUCCAAAGAAUCUUGAAGCAGCUUGCCGGGCCACACUGAAGUUAUUCACAUUUCUGGGUGACGGCUCUUCUGCUGACCUCCUUGGCCAUGAUCCAGUGCAGCAGAUGUGACGCUGAGCACAUCACAAAGCAUCAUGUAAGACAGACCCCAGAACUGCUUGCCCUUUGUUCCUACCCCUUGGCAAAAGGCAACGUUAACUGCUUGCUUUUGAGCAUGGCUCUAUCUCAGGCAAUCAUUUUUCUUCUUUUUUUUAAUGUUUCUUUUUUUAUUAAUCAAUUAAUUUAUUACAUUUAUAGUUAUACAAUGAUUAUCACAAUCCAAUUUUAUAGGAUUUCCAUCCCACAACCCCAGCACAUCCACCCACCCCCCAAACUGUCUCCUUUGGAGACCAUAGUUUUUCAAAGUCUUUGAGUCAGUAUCUGUCCUGCAAAGAAAUUCAUCUGCCCUUUUUUAAGAUUCCAUAUCAGUGGAAGCAUUUGAUAUUGGUGUCUCAUUGACUGACUUCGCUUAGCGUGAUAAUUUCUAGGUCCAUCCAUGUUGCUAAAAAUGCCGUUAUUUCGUUCAUUUUAAUGGCUGAGUAAUAUUCCAUUGUGUAUAUGUACCACAUCUUCUUGAUCCACUCCUCUGUCGAUGGACAUUUAGGUUGUUUCUGCAUCUUGG